UGGGGAAUAUUGGACAAUGGGCGGAAGCCUGAUCCAGCAACGCCGCGUGAGGGAUGACGGCCUUCGGGUUGUAAACCUCUUUCAGCACAGACGAAGCGCAAGUGACGGUAUGUGCAGAAGAAGGACCGGCCAACUACGUGCCAGCAGCCGCGGUAAUACGUAGGGUCCGAGCGUUGUCCGGAAUUUAUUGGGCGUAAAGGGCUCGUAGGCGGUUUGUCGCGUCGGGAGUGAAAACACCGGGCUUAACUCGGUGCUUGCUUUCGAUACGGGCAGACUAGAGGCAUUCAGGGGAGAACGGAAUUCCUGGUGUAGCGGUGAAAUGCGCAGAUAUCAGGAGGAACACCGGUGGCGAAGGCGGUUCUCUGGGAAUGUCCUGACGCUGAGGAGCGAAAGUGUGGGGAGCGAACAGGAUUAGAUACCCGUGGUAGUCCACACCGUAAACGUUGGGCGCUAGGUGUGGGAUCCAUUCCACGGGUUCCGUGCCGCAGCUAACGCAUUAAGCGCCCCGCCUGGGGAGUACGGCCGCAAGGCUAAAACUC
rnacentral:rRNA from 1 species